UGCGGAGGGUGCAAGCGUUAAUCGGAAUUACUGGGCGUAAAGCGCACGCAGGUGGCUGAGUCAGUCGAUUGUGAAAGCCCUGGGCUUAACCUGGGAAUUGCAGUCGAUACUACUCAGCUAGAGUAUGGGAGAGGGCAGUGGAAUUCCCGGUGUAGCGGUGAAAUGCGUAGAUAUCUGGAGGAACACCGGUGGCGAAGGCGGCAUCCUGGACCGGUAUUGACGCUGAGGCGCGAAAGCCAGGGGAGCAAACGGG
rnacentral:rRNA from 1 species